AUGCAAGUCGAACGAGUGUCCUUCGGGAUGCUAGUGGCGCACGGGUGCGUAACGCGUGGGAAUCUGCCCUGGGGUUUGGGAUAACCGUUGGAAACGACGGCUAAUACCGAAUGACGUCGAUAAGACCAAAGAUUUAUCGCCCUGGGAUGAGCCCGCGUAGGAUUAGGUAGUUGGUGGGGUAAAGGCCUACCAAGCCGACGAUCCUUAGCUGGUCUGAGAGGAUGAUCAGCCACACUGGGACUGAGACACGGCCCAGACUCCUACGGGAGGCAGCAGUGGGGAAUAUUGGACAAUGGGCGCAAGCCUGAUCCAGCAAUGCCGCGUGAGUGAUGAAGGCCUUAGGGUUGUAAAGCUCUUUUACCCGGGAUGAUAAUGACAGUACCGGGAGAAUAAGCCCCGGCUAACUCCGUGCCAGCAGCCGCGGUAAUACGGAGGGGGCUAGCGUUGUUCGGAAUUACUGGGCGUAAAGCGCACGUAGGCGGCCGUUUAAGUUAGAGGUGAAAGCCCGGGGCUCAACCCCGGAAUUGCCUUUGAUACUGGACGGCUUGAAUCCGGGAGAGGUGAGUGGAAUUCCGAGUGUAGAGGUGAAAUUCGUAGAUAUUCGGAAGAACACCAGUGGCGAAGGCGGCUCACUGGACCGGCAUUGACGCU
rnacentral:rRNA from 1 species